AUUGUGGAAAUGUUAGGCCAAGCGGUCAGAAAAUGGAACCGGGCAGAGGACGGGACACAGAGAGUGCCAGCUGGGGGCUAGAACAUGCUCCUCCUGCCACCAAGGAGCCGUGUGACUGGGACAACUCACCUGCCCUCUCUGGGCCUUGAGUUUCUUAAUCCAAAAGUCAGAAAUUGGGUAGGAGUAAUUUCUAAGUUCCCUGAAAAGAAUGGAAUGAAAUCACCAUGCUCAUGCAGUCAGGGUUUGUACAGGUUGGUGGGCUGGGUUUGCAUUGUCUUCUUUUGUGCUGGACUGCAGGAGCAGAAGAGGAAGCUGACCACAUGCCUCCGUUCACAUGCAAAGCCCUUCCAUGUCAGCGGGGUCACGCUCCACGUGUUGUUCUGCCACUGCCUUUGGUUUCUCGACACUGCCUCGUGGACACAGGAAGAGCUUGCAGCUGGUGACGAACUCUCCAGGAGGUUCACAUGCCAUUUAGAAAGUGAGUUCAGUGCCUGGGGACUAAUCAAUGAUGAGAUUUUCCCACCUCGGCCUGACAGGAAUGACACACAGCUGAGAAGAUGGCAGUGGUGCUUUUCCUUUAGGGGAAGAAAGGAGGGCCCCCCGGAAACCUUCUCUCCUAUCUGA
rnacentral:lncRNA from 1 species